UACGUAGGGUGCAAGCGUUAAUCGGAAUUACUGGGCGUAAAGCGUGCGCAGGCGGUUUUGUAAGUCUGACGUGAAAUCCCCGGGCUCAACCUGGGAAUUGCGUUGGAGACUGCAAGGCUGGAGUCUGGCAGAGGGGGGUAGAAUUCCACGUGUAGCAGUGAAAUGCGUAGAGAUGUGGAGGAACACCGAUGGCGAAGGCAGCCCCCUGGGUCAAGACUGACGCUCAUGCACGAAAGCGUGGAGAGCAAACAGG
rnacentral:rRNA from 1 species